CCCUUUUAAACCAGUGGCCACCAACCCUAGAAGUGCAUCAGUCCCAGAUUACCCCUUUAAACCAGUGGCCACCAACCCUAGAAGAGCAUCAGUCCCAGAUUGCCCCUUUAAACUAGUAGCCACCAACCCUAGAAGUGCAUCAGUCCCAGAUUGCCCCUUUAAACUAGUAGCCACCAACCCUAGAAGUGCAUCAGUCCCAGAUUACCCAUUUAAACCAGUGGCCACCAACUCUAGAAGACCAUCAUUACAAGCUGUGCAGGCUUUAAUUCCAGCCCUGCACUAAACCCACCUGAUUUUGACUAAUCCACUUGAUUAGCUAUAUUCAAAGUGUGUUGGUGGUAGUCAGGAACAAAAUCCUGCUUAGUCUCACUACAUAGCUAUGACUCUAUGUAAGGGUUGACCACUGAGAUAACUAGGUUACAGACAGACAGACAUGAGAAUACGAUCAACCUAGUAUUCCCUUUAUAGGACACUACUUCUGACCAGAGCCUUAUGGUCCCAUGUCAAAAGUAGUGCACUAUAUAGGGAAAAAGGUCAAUUUGGGCCUGUAUGAGUGGAUGGAUGGAAGCACAAGUGAUUUAGUAGCUUGGGGUAGAAGUUGCUCUUAGGCACAGAUCUAGGAUCAGCUUGUCUAGGAGUGUCCAGGUGUCACCAGGUGUCUAGAUUAAUCCAGAUGGGUAACCAGGUGUCUAGAUUCAUCCAGAUGGGUCACCAGGUGUCUAGACGUGUCCAGAUGGGUCACCAGGUGUCUAGACGUGUCCAGAUGGGUCACCAGGUGUCUAGAUGUGUCCAGAUGGGUCACCAGGUGUCUAGAUGAAUCCAGAUAGGUCACCAGGUGUCUAGAUUAAUCCAGAUGGGUCACCAGAUGUCUAGAUUAAUCCAGAUGAGUCACCAGGUGUCUAGAUCUGUCCAGAUGAGUCACCAGGUGUCUAGAUGAGUCACCAGGUGUCUAGAUUAAUCCAGAUGGUGUCUAGAUUAAUCCAGAUGGGUCACCAGGUGUCUAGAUGAAUCCAGAUGAGUCACCAGGUGUCUAGAUGGGUCCAGAUGAGUCACCAGGUGUCUAGAUUAAUCCAGAUGGGUCACCAGGUGUCUAGAUUAAUCCAGAUGGGUCACCAGGUGUCUAGAUGUGUCCAGGUGUCACCAGGUGUCUAGAUUAAUCCAGAUGGGUCACCAGGUGUCUAAAUUAAUCCAGAUGGGUCACCAGGUGUCUAGAUGGGUCACCAGGUGUCUAGAUUAAUAUAGAUGGGUCACCAGGUGUCUAGAUUAAUCCAGAUGAGUCACCAGGUGUCUAGAUUAAUCCAGAUGGGUCACCAGGUGUCUAGAUGUGUCCAGAUGAGUCACCAGGUGUCUAGAUUAAUCCAGAUGAGUCACCAGGUGUCUAGAUUAAUCCAGAUGAGUCACCAGGUGUCUAGAUUCAUCCAGAUGAGUCACCAGGUGUCUAGAUUAAUCCAGGUGGGUCACCAGGUGUCUAGAUUAAUCCAGAUGGGUCACCAGGUGUCUAGAUUAAUCCAGAUGAGUCACCAGGUGUCUAGAUGUGUCCACUCUCACCAGGUGUGUGUAAAGGUGUCCAGAAGUGUCCACUCUCACCAGCUGUGUGUAAAGGUGUCCAGAAGUGUCCACUCUCACCAGGUGUGUGUAAAGGUGUCCUGUGUAUCCAGGUGUGCUGAGGUGUUGUGAUCAUAAAGGGAAUCCGUUAAACGGGACGUCUAGUGACGUUCAUCUUAUAGACUGAUCUCAGGCCUGUCCCAACUCAU
ensembl:lncRNA